rnacentral:rRNA from 1 species
UACGGGGGGAGCAAGCGUUGUUCGGAUUUACUGGGCGUAAAGGGCGCGUAGGCGGCGCAACAAGUCACUUGUGAAAUCUCCGGGCUUAACUCAGAACGGCCAAGUGAUACUGCAGUGCUAGAGUGUGGAAGGGGCAAUCGGAAUUCUUGGUGUAGCGGUGAAAUGCGUAGAUAUCAAGAGGAACACCUGAGGUGAAGACGGGUUGCUGGGCCAACACUGACGCUGAUGCGCGAAAGCCAGGGGAGCAAACGGG